rnacentral:rRNA from 1 species
CCUACGGGAGGCAGCAGUGGGGAAUAUUGGACAAUGGGGGGAACCCUGAUCCAGCCAUGCCGCGUGUGUGAAGAAGGCCCUCGGGUUGUAAAGCACUUUCAGUGAGGAAGAACGCCUGGUGGUUAAUACCCAUCAGGAAAGACAUCACUCACAGAAGAAGCACCGGCUAACUCCGUGCCAGCAGCCGCGGUAAUACGGAGGGUGCGAGCGUUAAUCGGAAUUACUGGGCGUAAAGCGCGCGUAGGUGGCUUGAUAAGCCGGUUGUGAAAGCCCCGGGCUCAACCUGGGAACGGCAUCCGGAACUGUCAAGCUAGAGUGCAGGAGAGGAAGGUAGAAUUCGCGGUGUAGCGGUGAAUUGCGUAGAGAUCGGGAAGAAUACCAGUGGCGAAGGCGGCCUGCUGGACUGACACUGACACUGAGGUGCGAAAGCGUGGGUAGCAAACAGGAUUAGAUACCCCAGUAGUC